UGAAGUGAGAGAUCAACAAAAAAAAAAUUUAAAUUGCGUAUUUUUUCUACUUGAAAAAUUAAUAUCAUGAAAGCCAGAAUAUGAUGAAGAGUUCAAAUUCCAAUUUUUUCAUUUUGAAAAAUAAUCAUACGGUGAUCUUUAUAUGGAUCUCGUAUCACAUAAAAAAGCCCUCCCAAUCAGUUCUUUUGCCCUAGGAUUUAAUAUACAAUACGCUCCUGUGGGAGCAUACUGUAAAUAAAUCUGUUGUCACGUCGAUCGAGAUGCUUGUAUUACUUUUUCGUUACCUGGCCAUUACGCAAAUUCACGUCCAUUAAAUAACGUCCAUUAAAAGCUUAUUUUCAUAGCUUUUCUGCACCAACUUUGAAGCUUUUUUGAACUUUAGGGUUUUGGCCAUUUCUUUCCCGCUAUUUUUCCAUUUCUUUCCCGCUAUUUUUGAAUUUUACUUUUCGUGCUUUAGGGAUCGCCAUUGUUGUAGUUCCAUUGUCUUUGAAGCUUCUUGGAGUUUUUUGGGAUCUCCAUUGUUGGCCUUUUUGUACUUUAGGCUUAUUCAAGCUCUGCAGUGGGAAGAAGCAGUUCAGAAGUCAAAUUUGUUGAGUAAAAAUGGAAGAAGUGCAUGGAGAUGCCUUUGCUGCAAGAGGAUGAGAUUUGAUGGCCCUGACGGAGAGGAUUUUCCUUACAUUUAAUCAAUGUCAAAAUCUUUCUUCCUUGCUGGAUUCGCAUGUGGCAUUGUCACGCGAAGGAUAGAACAGAAUUGCGACUGACGCCAGCUGCAACAAUCGAUAUGUUGCUGACGAUAGCAUAUGCGCACAAUCCAUCUACAAGCGUGGCUACGAAAUUUGUCCAUUCCUCUACUAAUAAGAAUCGGUGUUCAAUUAAUCGAGUUCUGUGACAGUAUUAUGGGCAAUAAAUAGCAGAUUUUGAGUCAUCGUUGACUGAGAGAAAUUGAACAUUUGAGAUUGCAUUCAAGAAAUAUAUCCAAGUGUAUGUUGAAAACUUCCAUCAUCUGAUUAGGAGGUAAGAGGGGUUGGACCCCGUACAUUUAUGUGAUCUAUUUCAAAGUAUUCUUUGGUUUUAUUUGAAAUGGAAAGAAAUGUAAUUGAUUGUUAGUCAUCGAACAACUUGCAAUGAGUUAUCAUUGGAUGUUGAAAUGCAAUUAGACAUCAAUAACUAAAACAUUGAUAUGAAUUUAUC